rnacentral:lncRNA from 1 species
UCUGGAGCAAUUUACGGAUUGUUAAUAUCAUUUUUCUAGAAGAAGUUAUGGGCAUUGUAACAAUGAAAGGUUCAGAAACGUGGACAGCACAUACACAAAGAGAAAGGCAAGGCAUGGAUAGUUUGACAUGGGCAGAAAAUGGGUGGAUUGUUGGCUGAAAUAAUGAAGAACAUGUGUGUACAAAUGCAAAGGAAAAACACACACACAUGGGCAAAGGAAACACACACACAUGGGCAAAGGAAACACACACACAUGGGCAUAAAAUGGGUUGAUUUGUGGUUGAAAUGAUGGAGGUCAUGUGUGCGUAAAUGUAAAGGGAAAAACAUGGCAGAAAAUGUGUGUGUUUUUGUGGUUGAAAUGAUGAAGCAUGUGUGUGUAAAUGUAAAGAGGAAACAUGCCAACACACACCCACACAAGCUCACAUGCAAAGGAAAUGGAGUGGUCCUCUCCCUAGCCUAUAAAUACAUCCACCCUUCACCAUAACAAGGGGGAAGAAAACCAAAGAGAACACAAUCCACCCAUCCACCCUUCACCAUAACCCACCUAUAUCCAUCCACCACCAUAAUUUACCACUCAUCCAUCAAACCACACCUUGUGCCGCUACAAAGAGAAGAAGAAGGAUCUUGGACGUGC